rnacentral:lncRNA from 1 species
GUUAUGACCAUUUUUUACCUCAUUCAAUGCUAUAAGCUGUUUGACAUUCAUUUUGUUAUGAAACACACGUGUACACAACGACACUAAUGUAGAGUUAUAAAUUGACCAAAAUUUCCCACAUUUAUUUUAGCCAGACGAUUGACCAAUGAGAAACCAGUAUAAAAUUACAUGCGGACUGGGUGUUGCCAAAGUUUGAGACGAAUGCAAAAAAAAUCCCGUUGACCGACUUCUGAGACCUGCUACUAAUGAUCCCGACAACAAUGAUAGUCGUGUCAUAUACCAUUGUGUAGAUAAAUUAAUUUAGAUUUACGGCAUAUUAAGUUUAAGUAGGUUUGACAACCGAGAAAUCGAAAAAUAACGGGAAUUCGGGACUGGGGGUCAUUUUUCAAAAAAUUUAGUUAAGUACCUUGUGUUAUAUUAAGGUAUAUAGGAAA